GAUGAAGAACGCAGUGAAAUGCGAUAAGUAAUGUGGAUUGCAGAAUCCAGUGAAUCAUCGAAUCUUUGAACGCACAUUGCGCCCGCCAGUAUUCUGGCGGGCAUGCCUGUCCGAGCGUCAUUUCAACCAUCAAGCCCCAGGCUUGUGUUGGGGACCUGCGUCCGACGCAGGCCCUGAAAACCAGUGGCGGGCUCGCUGUCCACACCGAGCGUAGUAACUAACCUCGCUACGGGAGCGGCGCGGGCGCCUGCCGUAAAACCCCCAAUUUUCACAAGGUUGACCUCGGAUCAGGUAGGAAUACCCGCUGAACUUAAGCAUAUCAAUAAGCGGAGGA
rnacentral:misc_RNA from 1 species